rnacentral:rRNA from 1 species
AUUGAACGCUGGCGGCAUGCCUUACACAUGCAAGUCGAACGGCAGCAUGAUCUAGCUUGCUAGAUUGAUGGCGAGUGGCGAACGGGUGAGUAAUACAUCGGAACGUGCCCUGUAGUGGGGGAUAACUAGUCGAAAGAUUAGCUAAUACCGCAUACGACCUGAGGGUGAAAGUGGGGGACCGCAAGGCCUCAUGCUAUAGGAGCGGCCGAUGUCUGAUUAGCUAGUUGGUGAGGUAAAGGCUCACCAAGGGGACGAUCAGUAGCUGGUCUGAGAGGACGAUCAGCCACACUGGGACUGAGACACGGCCCAGACUCCUACGGGAGGCAGCAGUGGGGAAUUUUGGACAAUGGGCGAAAGCCUGAUCCAGCAAUGCCGCGUGUGUGAAGAAGGCCUUCGGGUUGUAAAGCACUUUUGUCCGGAAAGAAAUGGCUCUGGUUAAUACCUGGGGUCGAUGACGGUACCGGAAGAAUAAGGACCGGCUAACUACGUG